GGGAGGCGUGUCCACGGCGUCCGGAGUCCAGCCCUGCGUGUGUCCUCAGUCCUUAGGGCAGCUCCGGACCUCCGGAGGCAGCUCUUGAGGAGCUUCCUCCACUGUCCCCUCAGAGAGGCAGGCGAGAGGCUCUCCAUCCUUAGCCAGACGCUCACGGACCAUGUCGGCGCAGACUGCGAGCGGCCCCACGGAGGACCAGGUGGAGAUCCUGG
rnacentral:sRNA from 1 species